UGGGGAAUAUUGCACAAUGGGCGCAAGCCUGAUGCAGCCAUGCCGCGUGUGUGAAGAAGGCCUUCGGGUUGUAAAGCACUUUCAGCGAGGAGGAAGGUGGUGGACUUAAUACGUUCAUCAAUUGACGUUACUCGCAGAAGAAGCACCGGCUAACUCCGUGCCAGCAGCCGCGGUAAUACGGAGGGUGCAAGCGUUAAUCGGAAUUACUGGGCGUAAAGCGCACGCAGGCGGUUUGUUAAGUCAGAUGUGAAAUCCCCGGGCUCAACCUGGGAACUGCAUUUGAAACUGGCAAGCUAGAGUCUCGUAGAGGGGGGUAGAAUUCCAGGUGUAGCGGUGAAAUGCGUAGAGAUCUGGAGGAAUACCGGUGGCGAAGGCGGCCCCCUGGANGAAGACUGACGCUCAGGUGCGAAAGCGUGGGGAGCAAACAGAUUAGAUACCCUGGUAGUCCACGCUGUAAACGAUGUCGAUUUUGGAGGUUGUGCCCCUNAGGCGUGGNUUCCGGAGCUAACGNGUUAAAUGA
rnacentral:rRNA from 1 species